UGGGGAAAGGAACGUGUGGUGUCUCACUUGUCCAAGCUGAAGAACCAGUACUGAGGAUGGCCCCCAGGGACUGGACACGCCCCCUACUACCACGGGCCCUCUUCUCUACGUCAGUACAGCUUUGCCAGACAAGUUCCAUGCAACUGCACGAAUUUCACUUACUACUUAAAUAACUCCAAAGACAGCUACCGUGGAUAAAGGAGGCCAAGCAUGACACACCCAGAACAACCAACGAGCCGAUACACUGUCAACUGGGAAAUGCUGGUGCUCGCUUUGGCACAACAGCCUGAAGCCCAUCCAAGGGCACAGGAUAACACCAGAUGGACACGAGAGAGGGCAACCACUGCUAUCUCCCUCAGGAGCCAGGGCUGUGAAAAUUCUUGAAGU